rnacentral:sRNA from 1 species
AUAGAAAACAAAUAGACACAACACAUAAUGAGUUGUGUCUCUUCGUACUUGUGUCCCUUGA